AUGUAGCAUCUUUGAACUGUAAAACGUAUCCAAGAGAAUUUCACCAAUGUUCAUCUGUAGCUGUUACUCAAAAGAACCUAAAGGAAAAUUCUGAAUUGUCUUCUUUCUUGAGGAAAUCUGCUCAUCCAGAUCCUAAUGGUUGGAUUCAUGUAGGGCGAAAACGUUUCACUCAAAAUAUAGAACAGUGUUGUCAGUUGAGGAAGCCUUGCCUGGUUUCACCAAAGAAUGUAGCAUCUUUGAACUGUAAAACGUAUCCAAG